GAUCCUGGCUCAGGACGAACGCUGGCGGCGCGCCUAACACAUGCAAGUCGAACGGAGAUUUUGAGAGCUUGCUUUUAAAAUCUUAGUGGCGGACGGGUGAGUAACGCGUGAGUAACCUGCCUUUCAGAGGGGGAGUAACGGCUGGAAACGGCCGCUAAUACCGCAUGACAUAUUGGAGCCGCAUGGCUCUGAUAUCAAAGGAGCAAUCCGCUGAAAGAUGGACUCGCGUCCAAUUAGCG
rnacentral:rRNA from 1 species